AACGACCGGCGAGCAGCAACCCAUAGUGAUGGCCGGCUCCAUUCGACCAUGACGCGAGCAACGCCGGAGCUCCGGCCUGGCUGCUCCUUCCCCAUGCCCGUCCUACUCAUCCUCCCGUGCUUCUCCACACCAAGCAUGAAGACCACACCAGCAGGCUCUCUUAUGGCGACGACAUGCGCCCGAUACAGAAUCACAAUAUGUGGCGGCGCCGGAUCGAGAACGCGGGGAGACGCUGUCCUGUGGGGAAGAGAAAGAGGAUAACAUGGUAUAAAAUAAAGUAGUCAUUUUUCAUGUAGUGAAACUUUAGUUUUGGGCAAGAUGAUCAAAAAUAAAAAUAGAACUAAUGCAACAGGAGAACCACAUAUGGAGGCACUCAAGUGGACAGACACAACAGUUCAAACAAACCCAAAAAUAUCUCAUUGUUCACCUUAAACCUUCGGAGGUUUAAAGUGCUAGUUGAACUGAAAGGCACCGUUGCUAGGUGACAAAAAAAUCAGUACGCUCUGCAGUAAUUUGAUAUGAUAAAAACCAGUUGGAUAAAGACCAAAUAAAGUUAUUACCUAGCGAAGUUAGGGCUGCCAUAAAAAUCUGAACAGUUCCAUAAGUGGCCUCUUGAUAUUAUAUGAUUCAUAAAGGAACAUGACACAUGAUUGUGCAAAAAUGACUAUUGAUUCAGUGCCACACUACAGGAAAGGGGAUAUCAGUAGUCAUUAGAAUACACAGACUGAUAGAAAUUAUGCACCUGAUAUUACUUGCUACUUCUCUCAUCUAGCUGCAGCUGGUUUAGCAAAGAGAACCCAAUACCCAAAAUCAUGAAAUGGAUGUUCUCUUGGUUAGUAUACAAGACUGCUUAUUAUCUCUGUUGCCACACCACAGAGCAACCAAGCAAAGGGCCAUGGAGCACCUCACAACAAAAGGAACCUGAAACCUACAAACAGAGGAAUGAUUUUUCUUGUAACAUGAACCAUCAAAUUAACUACACUCGGCUGCACAGCAUGCGAUCGCCACCAUAGAAAGGCUACCCUACUACUUAACUCUCUCCAUAAACUACAAAAAAGCAAGAAAAUCAACCCAAACAACAUUGUAGGAACGAUAUAGACAAGACAAAAGAAUCUCAACUUGUUUGCUCUUUUUUAGUUGAGUAACUCCUUCUAGAGUAAAUGGUCAAGCUGGCCGCAAGAAAGAAACACACAAAAAACCCGAGAAUAGUGCACCAACAAGAAGGAAAAAAAUCUACGUAUGGACAAACUGACCGGGUGUGUGCUUCAGGAACCGAAAGAUUUGGGGAGAGAGAGAAGCAUACCUAAUAGAACUUCACAGGCAUGUCAACCCCUUGUUUAUUCUCCAAUUUCAGCCCUAGCAUUGAAGGAAGCCCAACCCUCUCAUGAACAGACUUUAGAGUGAAGCUCAUUGAUGAUGGCACUGUUAGCAGUCAGAAACUGUAUAAGCGAGGCCAUUCCACCUUCUUGGCCCUCUUAAAUAGCUUGUACAUACCUGUUUUAGAGUCAAGAGAAAAAAAUGAUAUCAACUAAGCAUAUCUAAAAUCCAUCAUAAUACAUACAAAGAAUGUGUUACAUCUGAAAUAAAAUGGAACAUGCAAAUUAGAUAGUUACUUAUAAGUGAAAUACCAUUUUAGGUGUGUUUUCACCAAAGAGAUACAGUGAACAGUGAGCAUUGUCCCAGUACACAUUUAUAGGAAUGAAACACACAUAGUUCAGCUGCUAUAUAGGGUAAUAUCUUUAUCUUACUGCUAUUUGGAUCUUUACUAAGUUGAUUAAUUUGCAUCUGUUACAAAGCAUAAGCCUCGACACAGCUCCAUAUAUGCUAUCAGAAAUGGCCUGACAAACAGUAGUUUUGUCGACAACAAAGAUUUGAACUAUUGAUUGCACAGUUCCUAGUAGAGUUUAUGCUACCUUAAAUCCCAGAAUUUUAGGCCAUCCUCUCCAGUAGUGACAAGGGUGUUUGUGUUUUCCUCACUGUCAAAAUGAUAUGGGUCAGACUCAGUGUUUACCCUUUGGAAGGGAAUAGAAGUAUAACACAACUUAGUACCUUACAUAUAUAUCGUGCCCACGAGAGGGCUCUGGUGGGAACAGAUUCAACAGUACCUUAACCAGAAAAGCUAGUUAAUAUAACACACAAACAAAAAAAAGAGAUAUGCAGUACAGGAAAUCCAAUUGUUUGCUCUUUAGCAUGUGAAAGUAAGCAGUUCCUGAGUCAGACAUGUCAUCUGAAUGGCAUAAGUGAUAGAAAACUAUGGAAAGGGAGAUAACAAACCAUUAAAAUGUCUUCUGACGGCAAGUUUGUGGAGACCUCCAUAAAGCAACCUGGAAACAUCAAAAUCCAACCAUGAACUCAGUAUGGCACGUUCUAACAAAACUGGGCAGUCAUCGGAUUUAAACUAAGAAAAUAAUUUUGUACAUGCAAAAAAGAUACCGUUCCAUCAUGACAUCCUUCCAGUAUCAUAUCA
rnacentral:lncRNA from 1 species